GAUGAACGCUGGCGGCGUGCCUAAUACAUGCAAGUCGAGCGAACAGACGAGGAGCUUGCUCCUCUGACGUUAGCGGAGGACGGGUGAGUAACACGUGGAUCACCUACCUAUAAGACUGGGAUCACUUCGGGAAACCGGAGCAAAUACCGUAUAAUCUAUUGAACCACAUGGGUCAUUAGUAAAAGACGGUUUUGCUGUCUCUUAUAGAUGGAUACGCGCCGGAUUAGCUAGUUGGUACGGUAACGGCUUACCAAGGCGACCAUGCGUAGCCGACCUGAGAGGGUGAUCGGCCACACGAGAGCUGAGACAGGCACCAGACGCCUACGGGAGGCAGCAGUAGGGAACCUUCCGCAAUGGGCGAAAGCUUGACGGAGCAAGGCCGCGUGAGUGAUGAAGGUCUUCGGAUCGUAAAACUCUGUUAUUAGGGAAGAACAAAUGUGUAAGUAACUAUGCACGUCUUGACGGUACCUAAUCAGAAAGCCACGGCUAACUACGUG
rnacentral:rRNA from 1 species